ensembl:Y_RNA Y_RNA Y RNA
GGCUAGUCGGAAUGCGAUGGCUUUUACAAGUAAUGGAUCACAGCCAGUUACAGAUUUCUUUGCUCCUUCCCCACUCCCACUGCUUCUUGACUAGCCUUUA